rnacentral:lncRNA from 1 species
GAUAAUUAAACUAAUUAAUUGUUUCUUUAAUGAUAUAUGAAUACAUGCAAAGUCACGAGUUCAUCUAGCAAUGCAUGUUAAUUAAUCAAAGAAUAAAUUGUUACACUGAUUUUUUUUUCUUUUUUUGGUCGAAAAUUGUUAAACUGAUUUCAAGUGCAUGUAUGUUAGUUUAUCAAAGUUUUGUAGCCAUUUAAAACUCUCUUCGACCGUUCCAACAUAUAUGUGAAACUAUGGAUUCCAUGAAACCAUGAAUUUUCUAAACAAGCAAAAAAAUAUGAAUCUCACCCAUUCCAAAGGAGAUAUUUUACUGCUUAGGUUCCUUCCCCACCAAUAAUGUGAAUAAUUUAUAGGACAUUUAGCUUUAAUCUUUUGAAAGUCAUUUUUCCUCAACUACAACUCUUUUUUUUUUUGUAUGUCUGAAUAAAAUCAUGUUUUUUCUAA